GAAAUACGUUUUCAUCCUGGAAUUCAACAGUAUCCUUUCUUAAGCUGGAAGCGCUGUCAGAGGUUAUGUGAACAGUUGAAUUACUGUAAGAAGCCACCAAUAGACGGAAGAACUACCAUAGCCCCAUCCUUACCACCAAGAAUAGAAAUUGAUCGUUUUGUGACUUUUGAUCCUCUAAUCCCUCUUGACGACAGGCGGGGAGAUUCAUGAUGAAUGAAGUUCUUCAAGAAUGUCAUAACCUAAAGCAGCAUCUUCCUCCAAUCAGUAUUUAGUAUCACA